rnacentral:rRNA from 1 species
GACGAACGCUGGCGGCGUGCUUAACACAUGCAAGUCGAACGAUGAACUUGGAGCUUGCUCUGGGGGAUUAGUGGCGAACGGGUGAGUAACACGUGAGUAACCUGCCCUGGACUCUGGGAUAACUUCGAGAAAUCGGAGCUAAUACCGGAUAGGACCUUGCACCGCAUGGUGUGGGGUGGAAAGUUUUUCGGUUUGGGAUGGACUCGCGGCCUAUCAGCUUGUUGGUGAGGUAAUGGUUCCCCAAGGCGUCGACGGGUAGCCGGCCUGAGAGGGUGACCGGCCACACUGGGACUGAGACACGGCCCAGACUCCUACGGGAGGCAGCAGUGGGGAAUAUUGCACAAUGGGCGCAAGCCUGAUGCAGCAACGCCGCGUGCGGGAUGACGGCCUUCGGGUUGUAAACCGCUUUUAGUAGGGAAGAAGCCUUCGGGUGACGGUACCUGCAGAAAAAGGACCGGCUAACUACGUGCCAGCAGCCGCCGUAAAAC